rnacentral:rRNA from 1 species
AUUGAACGCUGGCGGCAUGCCUUACACAUGCAAGUCGAACGGUAACGGGCCUUCGGGUGCCGACGAGUGGCGAACGGGUGAGUAAUACAUCGGAACGUGCCCGAUCGUGGGGGAUAACGAGGCGAAAGCUUUGCUAAUACCGCAUACGAUCUACGGAUGAAAGCAGGGGACCGCAAGGCCUUGCGCGGACGGAGCGGCCGAUGGCAGAUUAGGUAGUUGGUGGGAUAAAAGCUUACCAAGCCGACGAUCUGUAGCUGGUCUGUGAGGAUGAUCAGCCACACGGGGACUGAGACACGGCCCGAACGCCUACGGGAGGCAGCGGUGGGGAAUUUUGGACAAUGGGGGCAAGCCUGAUCCAGCCAUGCCGCGGGCAGGAUGAAGGCCUUCGGGUUGUAAACUGCUUUUGUACGGAACAAAAAGCCUUCUUUUAAUACAGGAGGGUCAUGACGGUACCGUAAGAAGAAGCACCGGCUAACUACGU